CUAAAGUGAAAGAUGGUUUUGCUAUCACUUAUAGAUGGACCCGCGCCGUAUUAGCUAGUUGGUAAGGUAAUGGCUUACCAAGGCAACGAUACGUAGCCGACCUGAGAGGGUGAUCGGCCACACUGGAACUGAGACACGGUCCAGACUCCUACGGGAGGCAGCAGUAGGGAAUCUUCCGCAAUGGGCGAAAGCCUGACGGAGCAACGCCGCGUGAGUGAUGAAGGGUUUCGGCUCGUAAAACUCUGUUAUUAGGGAAGAACAAACGUGUAAGUAACUGUGCACGUCUUGACGGUACCUAAUCAGAAAGCCACGGCUAACUACGUGCCAGCAGCCGCGGUAAUACGUAGGUGGCAAGCGUUAUCCGGAAUUAUUGGGCGUAAAGCGCGCGUAGGCGGUUUUCUUAAGUCUGAUGUGAAAGCCCACGGCUCAACCGUGGAGGGUCAUUGGAAACUGGGAGACUUGAGUGCAGAAGAGGAAAGUGGAAUUUCCAUGUGUAGCGGUGAAAUGCGCAGAGAUAUGGAGGAACACCAGUGGCGAAGGCGACUUUCUGGUCUGUAACUGACGCUGAUGUGCGAAAGCGUGGGGAUCAAACAGGAUUAGAUACCCUGGUAGUCCACGCCGUAAACGAUGAGUGCUAAGUGUUAGGGGGUUUCCGCCCCUUAGUGCUGCAGCUAACGCAUUAAGCACUCCGCCUGGGGGAGUACGACCGCAAGGUUGAAACUCAAAGGAAUUGACGGGGACCCGCACAAGCGGUGGAGCAUGUGGGUUUAAUUCGAAGCAACGCGAAGAACCUUACCAAAUCUUGACAUCCUUUGACCACUCUAGAGAUAGAGCUUUCCCCUUCGGGGGACAAAGUGACAGGUGGUGCAUGGUUGUCGUCAGCUCGUGUCGUGAGAUGUUGGGUUAAGUCCCGCAACGAGCGCAACCCUUAAACUUAGUUGCCAGCAUUUAGUUGGGCACUCUAGGUUGACUGCCGGUGACAAACCGGAGGAAGGUGGGGAUGACGUCAAAUCAUCAUGCCCCUUAUGAUUUGGGCUACACACGUGCUACAAUGGACAAUACAAAGGGCAGCUAAACCGCGAGGUCAUGCAAAUCCCAUAAAGUUGUUCUCAGUUCGGAUUGUAGUCUGCAACUCGACUAC
rnacentral:rRNA from 1 species